CAAAAGCGUAUAUUAAAGUUGUUGCAGUUAAAAAGCUCGUAGUUGAACCUUGGGCUUGGCUGGCCGGUCCGUCUUUUUUGAUGCGUACUGGACCCAGCCGAGCCUUUCCUUCUGGCUAGCCUUUUGGCGAACCAGGACUUUUACUUUGAAAAAAUUAGAGUGUUCAAAGCAGGCCUUUGCUCGAAUAUAUUAGCAUGGAAUAAUAGAAUAGGACGUUAUGGUUCUAUUUUGUUGGUUUCUAGGACCAUCGUAAUGAUUAAUAGGGACGGUCGGGGGUAUCAGUAUUCAGUUGUCAGAGGUGAAAUUCUUGGAUUUACUGAAGACUAACUACUGCGAAAGCAUUUACCAAGGACGUUUUCAUUAA
rnacentral:rRNA from 1 species